GCGCCCGUAGCUCAGCUGGAUAGAGUAGCGCCCUUCUAAGGCGUUUGUCGAGGGUUCGAAUCCCCCCGGGCGUGCCA
rnacentral:tRNA from 1 species